AACGCGAAGAACCUUACCAGGUCUUGACAUCCUCUGACAAUCCUAGAGAUAGGACUUUCCCCUUCGGGGGACAGAGUGACAGGUGGUGCAUGGUUGUCGUCAGCUCGUGUCGUGAGAUGUUGGGUUAAGUCCCGCAACGAGCGCAACCCUUGUCCUUAGUUGCCAGCAUUCAGUUGGGCACUCUAAGGAGACUGCCGGUGACAAACCGGAGGAAGGUGGGGAUGACGUCAAAUCAUCAUGCCCCUUAUGACCUGGGCUACACACGUGCUACAAUGGAUGGUACAAAGGGCUGCAAGACCGCGAGGUUUAGCCAAUCCCAUAAAACCAUUCUCAGUUCGGAUUGUAGGCUGCAACUCGCCUACAUGAAGCCGGAAUCGCUAGUAAUCGUGGAUCAGCAUGCCACGGUGAAUACGUUCCCGGGCCUUGUACACACCGAUAGC
rnacentral:rRNA from 1 species